rnacentral:rRNA from 1 species
GACAGAGGUGCCGAGCGUUAGGCGGAAUCACUGGGCUUAAAGCGUGUGUAGGCGGAUCCGUAAGUACCUUGUGAAAUCCCACGGCUCAACCGUGGAACUGCUUGGUAUACUGCGGGUCUUGAGCCACCUAGGGGCGAGCGGAACAAGUGGUGGAGCGGUGAAAUGCGUAGAUAUCACUUGGAACGCCAAUGGUGAAAACAGCUCGCUGGGGGUGUGCUGACGCUGGAGACACGAAAGCCAGGGGAGCAAACGGG